rnacentral:sRNA from 12 species
CACCUUACUCUAAUUGGUGAGUAAGAAGGACCAUUGGGGUCAACUGG